rnacentral:rRNA from 1 species
AAUUGACCUUCCCGUGAAGAGGCGGGAAUAUCACAAUAAGACGAGAAGACCCUAUGGAGCUUUAAUUAACCAACCCAAACUCAUGGAUAUUAUUCACCUACAAGGCAUAACAUGUAACCAUUAUUAUGGGUUAGCAAUUUAGGUUGGGGUGACCUCGGAAUACAAAAAAACUCCCGAGUGAUUAAAAUUUAGACUCACUAGUCAAAAUAUAGUAUCACUUAUUGAUCCAAUAGUUUUGAUCAACGGAACAAGUUACCCUAGG